GUGAAUCAUCGAAUCUUUGAACGCAAAUUGCGCCUUUUUCGGAUGGCAUGUCUGUUUGAGGGCACCAUUUAACACAUACUGUGCAGAGUUUUUUGUUGCACACGUUGAUGCGCUUUUCAAGAAUUUUAAAUUUUUGGUGGAGAAUAAUGAACAGCGUGAAAGUUUUUUUCAGUUCGAGUGUAGUUAAAUCUUUGCUGAGGUUGUGAAAUAACAUAAUCGCGUAAUGGGUGUGGCAAUUUCUUUUUAUCACUGCCCCAAUGUCACUUUUU
rnacentral:misc_RNA from 1 species